UUGGUUUCUCUCAACCCCCUUCUCUUCCCAACCGCCAGCCCUUUUUAUGAGGUUCUAUUCCUAAGAGAUGAGUCUCCAUCCCUCUCCCUCUUUCUCGCCCUCGCCUUCACCCUCUCCCUUUGCCUCUCUAUCUCCUUGCCUCUUCAUCUUUAGGACUUCUUCGUGGAUUUUGUGGACGUCACUGUUGACUUCCUCCGCAAAAGUAGAGAGUUUUGUCCCUGCAAGCUUUAAGAUCCAAGUGCGAGCGCCUCGGAAGAAUCUACUAUCUUUGGAUUUGCUUGCUCACUUUGGCUCUAGGAUAAUAGAGAGUUCAAGGUGAUGGCGAGGCGUGCCAUCCUCAAGAUUUCUUCUUUCGUUCUCAAAUUGGAGGUUGGCCAAAAUUUGACACGUCGUCCUCAAGUUGGCGAUGGAAAGAAAGUUCUUCGGUCGGAAGCAAAUUAAAGGCCGCAAGAUCGAUUUGUCAAUCACUUCUUCCCUCACCCACAGGCAAGGCUCCGCCAGCCGAGGACCAGCGUGGGUCGGCCUUACUCAGGUCAGAUCUGCUGAGGGAUGCGGUAUAAUUAUGGCGGGGAAAUGAUGUAACUAUUGGAGUAGUUAACAUAUUUUAAUUGGUCCAUAACUUAUUAAUUAAAAUUUUUAAGUAAAAGUGAAUCCAAUUAAAUAUGUUGAUGGGUUUGGAUUGAA